rnacentral:tRNA from 1 species
AGCUUUUUAUGGUGUAAAUAAACACAUUGGACUGCAAAUCUAAAAAUGUACCUAUGAGGAACUAGAGCUU